AAUCGGAAUAUUUGUCAAUGGGCGAAAGCUUGAACAAGCAAUGCCGCGUGAGCGAUGAAGUCCUUCGGGACGUAAAGCUCUGUGUUACGGGACGAAAACCCAGCACGUAAACAAUAUGCUGGUCUGACGGUACCGUAAUAGAAAGCCCCGGCUAACUACGUGCCAGCAGCCGCGGUGAUACGUAGGGGGCAAGCGUUGUUCGGAAUUACUGGGCGUAAAGGGCGUACAGGCGGCUUUGUAAGUCAGAUGUGAAAUCCUCGAGCUUAACUUGAGAACUGCAUUUGAUACUGCUUGGCUUGAGAUCAGGAGAGGAAAGCGGAAUAUGUGGUGUAGCGGUGAAAUGCGCAGAUAUCACAUAGAACACCGGUGGCGAAGGCGGCUUUCUGGCCUGACUCUGACGCUGACGCGCGAAAGCUAGGGGAGCGAACGGGAUUAGAUACCCGAGUAGUCC
rnacentral:rRNA from 1 species